GCCACCUCAUUCAUUUCCCACUUUUAACUUUCAUACUUUUCCUUUUCUUCUCUUAAUUUAAAUUUCAAGUUUUUCCCAUUUUUUUUCCACAUUAUUUCACUUUCAUUUUAAUUUUUUCUCCCACCAUUUUCUUUUUUCUAUUUUAUUCUUUGAAGUAUAAAUAACAAAAUUUGAACAUCUUUUUAAUUUAGUGAAGAAAAACACAUAAACAUGUUAAAUUUUUAAAACACAAAAUUUAUCUAAAAUAAAAGCAUA
rnacentral:lncRNA from 1 species